rnacentral:rRNA from 1 species
UACGUAGGGUGCAAGCGUUGUCCGGAAUUAUUGGGCGUAAAGAGCUCGUAGGCGGUGUGUCGCGUCGGCCGUGAAGACCUGGGGCUUAACUCUGGGCUUGCGGUCGAUACGGGCAUCACUGGAGUUCGGCAGGGGAGACUGGAAUUCCUGGUGUAGCGGUGAAAUGCGCAGAUAUCAGGAGGAACACCGGUGGCGAAGGCGGGUCUCUGGGCCGAUACUGACGCUGAGGAGCGAAAGCGUGGGGAGCGAACAGG